UACGGAGGGUGCGAGCGUUAAUCGGAAUCACUGGGCGUAAAGCGCGCGUAGGCGGCCAGGUAAGUCAGAUGUGAAAGCCCCGGGCUCAACCUGGGAAUUGCAUUUGAUACUGCCCGGCUCGAGUAUGGUAGAGGGGGGUGGAAUUCCAGGUGUAGCGGUGAAAUGCGUAGAUAUCUGGAGGAACACCGGUGGCGAAGGCGACCCCCUGGACCGAUACUGACGCUGAGGCGCGAAAGCGUGGGGAGCAAACAGG
rnacentral:rRNA from 1 species